GAUGAACGCUGGCGGCGUGCCUAAUACAUGCAAGUCGAACGGAAGGGCGAGGAGCUUGCUGGUCGGAUGUUAGCCGAGGGCGUGAGAGUAACGCGUGUAUAAUCUACUUAUCAGUCUGGGAAAACUUGGGGAAACCGGAGCUAAUACGGUAUAAGAUUUUGAACCGUAGGGGUCAAAGGAGAAAGACGGCGGUGCUGUCACUUAUAGAUGGAUCCGCGCUGCAUUAGAUAGUUGUUAAGGUAACGGCUUUCCAAGGCAACGAUGCAUAGGCGACGUGAGAGGGUGAUCGGCCACAUGGGAACUGGGACACCGACCAUACGCCUACGGGAGGCAGCAGUCGGGAAUGUUAGGCAAUGGGCGGAAGCCUGACGCAGUGAGGCCGAGUGUGUGAUAAAGGCCUCCCGUUCGGAAAAACCGGUUAUGAGGGGUGAACAGCUUUCUCAUGAGACGUGGAGUUCUUGACGGUACUGGAUCAGGAAGCACCGGCUAACUACGUG
rnacentral:rRNA from 1 species